AUACGGAGGGGGCUAGCGUUGUUCGGAAUCACUGGGCGUAAAGCGCACGUAGGCGGGCUGGUCAGUUGGGGGUGAGAGCCCCGGGCUUAACCUGGGAAUUGCAUUCGAUACUGCCAGGCUAGAAUGUAGUAGAGGGUAGUGGAAUUUCGGGUGUAGCGGUGAAAUGCGUAGAUAUCCGAAGGAACAUCAGUGGCGAAGGCGGUUACCUGGACGGGUACUGACGCUGAGGCGCGAAAGCGUGGGGAGCAAACAGGAUUAGAUACCCCGGUAGUCC
rnacentral:rRNA from 1 species